rnacentral:rRNA from 1 species
UACGAAGGGGGCGAGCGUUGUUCGGAUUUACUGGGCGUAAAGGGCGCGUAGGCGGCCGAUCAAGUCAGGCGUGAAAGCCCCGGGCUCAACCUGGGAAUGGCGCUUGGGGACUGGUUGGCUUGAGUUCGGGAGAGGAGAGUGGAAUUCCCAGUGUAGAGGUGAAAUUCGAUAGAUAUUGGGAAGAACACCGGUGGCGAAGGCGGCUCUCUGGACCGAGACUGACGCUGAGGCGCGAAAGCGUGGGGAGCAAACAGGG